rnacentral:misc_RNA from 1 species
CAACCCCUAAGCACAGCUUAUUGUUGGGCGUCUACGUCUGUAGUGCCUCAAAGACAUUGGCGGAGCGGCAGUAGUCCUCUGAGCGUAGUAAUUCUUUAUCUCGCUUUUGUUAGGUGCUGCCCCCCGGCCGUAAAACCCCCAAUUUUUUCU